CUUCAGCGAGCCGAGCAGCACCGGGCGGUCACGGUCCUGUCCGUAGGUGGCGAGCAGGGCCUGGGCCUC
rnacentral:antisense_RNA from 1 species